rnacentral:rRNA from 1 species
UACGAAGGGGACUAGCGUUGUUCGGAAUUACUGGGCGUAAAGCGCACGUAGGCGGAUUUGUAAGUCAGGGGUGAAAUCCCGGGGCUCAACCUCGGAACUGCCUUUGAUACUGCAAAUCUCGAGUCCAUAGAGGUGGGUGGAAUUCCUAGUGUAGAGGUGAAAUUCGUAGAUAUUAGGAAGAACACCGUGGGCGAAGGCGGCCCACUGGAUCGGUACUGACGCUGAGGUGCGAAAGCGUGGGGGAUCAAAACAGG